rnacentral:rRNA from 1 species
UGAAGCUGGAAUUGCUAGUAAUGGCAGGUCAGCAUACUGCCGUGAAUACGUUCCCGGGCCCUUGUACACACCGCCCGUCACACCAUGAGAGUUGGGAAUACCCGAAGCCUGUGAACUAACUUAUAGAGGCAGCAGUCGAAGGUAGAAUCAAUGAUUGGGGUGAAGUCGUAACAAGGUACC